rnacentral:pre_miRNA from 1 species
GUAGUAUUCCCUCCGUCCGGAAAUACUUGUCAUCAAGAUGAAUAAAAAAAGAUGUAUCUAAAUAUAUUUUAGUUAUAGAUACAUUUUAUUUUGUCCAUUUUAAUGUCGGCCGGAGGGAGUACUAC